rnacentral:rRNA from 1 species
UACGUAUGGUGCAAGCGUUAUCCGGAUUUACUGGGUGUAAAGGGAGCGCAGGCGGCACGGCAAGCCUGAUGUGAAAGCCCGCGGCCCAACCGCGGGACUGCAUUGGGAACUACCGGGCUGGAGUGCCGGAGAGGUAGGCGGAAUUCCUAGUGUAGCGGUGAAAUGCGUAGAUAUUAGGAGGAACACCAGUGGCGAAAGCGGCUCUCUGGUCUGUAACUGACGCUGAGGUUCGAAAGCGUGGGUAGCAAACAGG